UACAUGGGGUGCAAACGUUGCUCGGAAUUAUUGGGCGUAAAGCGCACGUAGGCGGUUCGUUAAGUCGGAUGUGAAAGCCCUCGGCUCAACUGAGGAAGUGCACCCGAAACUGGCGAGCUUGAGUACGAAAGAGGAUCGCGGAAUUCCCGGUGUAGAGGUGAAAUUCGUAGAUAUCGGGAGGAACACCGGUGGCGAAGGCGGCUCUCUGGGUCGAUACUGACGCUGAGGUGCGAAAGCGUGGGGAGCAAACAGG
rnacentral:rRNA from 1 species